GGUCAUUCUUCAGUGCAUCACCUGGCCUCGUGAUGAUGAUGAUGAUGAGGACGCCGACUGUUUAGUUGACACAAAAUGCCGUGUAUCAGGAUAUCUUCGCCGCUUCAUUAAAAUGCGUCACCUGAUGUAAUGGCCAAUCUGGUGAAAUUCUGGACCGGGUGGGAGAUUCUGCCACGGAAUAAUCUGUCCAUUGAGGUGGUCAACGGCAGCUUCCCCACUGCCUCAACCUGUUAUGAGACCCUGUACAUCCCAGGGCAUUACAAGGACUAUGCAUCCUUUGAAAAUGUAAUGCUGGCUUGUAUUGGCACUUGUCAAACAGGAUUUGGUCUUGUGUAAUGUGUUGGUAGAAGGCAGAGGUGUUCAUUGACUCCAGUGUUAAGUAUUUGUCUGCUUAGGAAAUACUAAAUAAAGUCCUCCCUUUCUUCUGUUCAGAAUCAGCCUGUUGUAUAUUGGACAGCCCAGUAUAUGUAUUAGGGAUGCACAGUAUGGAUGUUUUUUCAGCAGAUUACAGAUCACUACCUGCUUCUCAUGGCAAAUACUGAUAACUUCAUAACCUGUAGUUUACACAUACCUGAGGGUCUACAGAUCAGCUAAAGGACAACAACCAAUCAGAGCUGAGGGUAGUCAGAAGCACCUGUCAAUCGUGCUCAUUAACUCCAAGAAACUAAUCAAAUAGGCAGCAGUGAUCAAAUAUCAAACGUGACCUUUUUUAGAUUGUCUUUCCCAUUUUAUGAAUUGACCAAUUGUAUCUUUAAUAUUUUAUGUGUCUGAUCAAAUCUGACAUCCUAUUGUUCGCAUAACAACAAACAAAAGAACAUUUGUCAUUCUGCAAAUGUUAAUUUAUUAUAAUUUUUCCUAUACAAUUUGAAGAUUCCAAAAGCAGAACAGUUGUCUGCCAUACAAACAUAAUACAUCUGUAAAAUAACAAGAAAACAAAGGUGAAGUGGAUGUUUGUGCCAUAUUUGGAUACAUUGGAGAAAAACACCUAAGCUCUCUUUCUCAGUCAUCAGAUAGAACAUGCUCACAAAAUUGAACAGCAGCAAUGUAGAUAUCAGAGCCAAAGGACUGGGAUGUAGCUCGUGGGUCAACAGCUUCUCUUAAAGCAGCCAUUUGUCCAUCAGUCAGGAUUCAGUCAGGAUGUAUAAUGUAUUAUUCCAGGAUUUUGGAAUAUUGUAAAAUAAAUAAGAUCUGUGGAAAACUAACCUGUUUGAUAAAUGCACGUUUUGUUCAGCCGGACAUGUGGAGAUUAGCUGGCUGAACAUAACGUGCAUUUAUCGACCAGGUUCGUUUUCUACAGAUAAUGUUUUUUACAAUAUUCCAAAUCCUAUGGAGAAAUCCCAUUGCUUUUUUGUCGAGGGAACCAGCAGCUUACUUCAGGGUCGUCCUACAAAAAUACGUCAUCACUGCAUCUCUCUAUUUCAGGCUGAUAACCAAAAACACAUUCGAAAAACACAUUAACUUCAGUGUAGGUAACUGUUAUUGUUUGUCUGUUAAUUACACACUUUGUCCAAAGACUGUUUUAAGGAAAGACAAAUGAAAGUUGUUUUUAUAUGUUUAUAUAAUAAAGUAUACAUACAUUA